AGCAGCCGCGGUAAUUCCAGCUCCAAUAGCGUAUAUUAAAGUUGUUGCAGUUAAAAAGCUCGUAGUUGAACUUCGGGGUCUACCCAUUGGUCAGGCUUAAUUGUCUGUACUGGUGAGAUGGAUCUCUACCUUCUGAGGAACUUUCAUGCCAUUUAUUUGGUGUGAUUGGAGAUCAGGACUGUUACUUUGAAAAAAUUAGAGUGUUUAAAGCAGACUAUCGUCUGAAUACAUUAGCAUGGAAUAAUGAAAUAGGACGGACUGAUUCUAUUUCGUUGGUUUCUAGGAUCACCGUAAUGAUUAAUAGGGAUAGUUGGGGGCAUUAGUAUUCAAUUGUCAGAGGUGAAAUUCUUGGAUUUAUUGAAGACUAACUACUGC
rnacentral:rRNA from 1 species